rnacentral:miRNA from 1 species
CGGCGUUAGCUCUGUGUCAAACC